ACCCACAACUGAUUAUUGUUGCUGACGUGACCAAUCAAAAUAGUUUAUUUCAGUAGUUGCGAAAGUUAGUCUUGUGACGCUAUAGGUUGUGAAAUCUUAGGAGGGUUUGUAUUAGGUGUCCAGAAAUCAAAUUACUUUAAAAUGUGUGCUUGUGGUUUAUUUUUUACAUACUUGCACAUUAUUGUCAGAGCUUUGUGGGUCACAAAGCUCUGACAAAAAUUGAGAACAAAGGUGUUAAGAGUUAAUUUAACACUUGUGAACAUAUUAUUUCCGUAUUAUAACUUGUCAUUUUUUUAACAUAAAAAAAAAACAAUGUGUUAAGUGGUAAUGAAGGCAGAAAAUUGCCAGGAAGUGGAUCAGUUUUUCUUCUUAGUACGAACUUAAUAAUGCACUACAACAUUCUGAAAAUUAGUUCCUAGAUUUUUUCCAAAGUCAGUCAAUGUGUCAAAUAACAUUUUUGAAUGAUGACAAUUAAAAACUUCUUCCCUCGUUAUUGCAGACCUUGUUGUUCUAAAUCGGGGCUUUAUAAUCUGCAAGCACUCUAUCCUGUUAUUUUCAAAACUAUGUAGUAGGAACGAUCUAUUGCAUUAUAUCAUGUGGUUGUGUAUGAGUUAAGUCACUUUCAGAGCUAAAUAUUGUGUUAUGCCACAAGUUUCCUGGCUGGAGUCAGUUUUUCUCAUGUAAAACAAAAUAAAUGCGGACGUAUGUCUUUUAUAUCUUUAUAAAUUAUGUCGGUCACAGAUUGUCUGCUUGAGUGUUUUGGAGUUGUUGCUUAUGUGUUUGAUUCAUUUUAAGUGAAUGGCAAAAGCACCAAGCGCCUCCAUAGCUUUACAGGAGUAACUCUUUAGGUGAAUGCGCAUUUCAUUUAUCCAUGAUUUCUAGUUUUUCUGUGCACCUAAGAUUUAUAUGUAUAAUUUGCUGCAUGUUAAAACACCGUUGUGGAAUUUAAAACACAAUAGAAACUCCUAAUGUGAUA